GUCUGUGCUUAUUGUGCUUUGUUUUUGUUCAUUUUCUGACUGUUUUAGGUCCUUUUGUGGUAAUUUUGCAGCUUUCUGUAUUCAAUAAACCAGCAGAGAACCAGAUAAAGUCUCACUCAUUCAUCACAGAGGGUCACUGCAAUAUGUUGACCUGUUUAUACAACUUGAUAAAUGUUGGUCGGUGUUUCUGUUCCCAGCAUUUUAUUCUGUCUAAUUUCACUUCCAUGGAGACGGCUUUCCUUUUCUUCCAGCAUCAGAAGAGUCUGACGUAUGCUGGGAGCCAUAAUGAAGGACAAAAAGUUAGUGAAUGUAGACAAUCCAAGGUGGAGUACAACCAGAGAAUGGAAACAAAGCCGUCUGAUAGCGCCGCAUGACGACGUAUUCAUCCGCUCUGUUCGUCAACUAGUUCCAUGUAACCAGUUCUGAUGUAACGAUGAAACGCUGUAGGUCGAUGACGUCGUAAACUGAGGACCUCCUGUACUAUGAUGAAUCCAUUAAAUCAGAGCUGUUUUGUGUGUAGAUCCAUUCAGCAUGGUGAAAUCAGAAAACGACACCGUUAAUAUUGUUCAGUGGAAACGUGUUCAAACUACUGGAGAACUGUGCAGACAGAUGGAAAAUGUGUCAGAAGUGACAAAUAAAAUGUUGAAAUGACUUGAAACUUGUUCAGAAUGACUCAGAAUCCAAAAAUGUAUAUAAAUGGGAAAAACGCAGCUUGGCUCAGAACCAGUGAACAGAGCAGCACGAUGUUGGAGUUCCAUUCAGCAUGGAGAAACAUCUGCUAAACGAGAACAAAUCAAUCCACUCUCCCCCAGCAGCAUUAAGCCUUAAAGGAACAUAAAUCAUUCAUCAAUAAUAUCCUCAUUUAAUACCUGAUCCAGGAUGGUGAAGAUAUAAGUCUGUGAUGUAAAUAAGCUGUCAUCAUGUCAGAGAUCUUUUUAUUCUCCUGCUGCCCACCAGGACCGUCCAUAUGGUCUCUAAUUUUAGACUCAGGGCUGAGGGAUCAUCUAAACUCGAAACUUUUACCCCCAAACACACCGACAGAAUGGAAAGAUCCAGAAGAAAUGAGCUGACACCACGGCAACUUUCUCAUGUUCCAACACUGUCCACUUCUUCUAAAGCCGUUUUAUCUCAGGUUUUAUCCCCGGUUCCCAUGUCUAAAUUGGAAUCCCAGUUCAGAGGGUCUCUACUUACAUCAGAGUUCUGCUUCUACUGAGCCACGGAACACGAUUUUGAAGUCGAAACUCACCAGUGAUGGGAAUAGUGGCAUUAAAAUAAAUACCGUUACUAAUGACGUUAUUCUUUUCAGUAACAGGUAAUCUAACUAAUUACUGUUUCCUUCUUCAUUCACCAAGGUGGGGACGAUACUAAGAGACGUUCUAAAAUCUAGUCAACAGCUGUCACAACCCUCCUGUCUCAGUGCACUGACUAAUCAGUGGAAUGACGAGCGGCUGUGUUUCUCCACACAGCCGGCGCAGAUUGACAAUCAGUGUGGCAUUUAAGCCUGACUCUUUGUACUGCCCAGCGCUGCAACAUUGAACGAUCUUCCUGCUGCACAACUCUCCCUGCUACUCGCCGUUCACCAUUGUCUGUGCAUCACUCUCUGGACUCUGUUUGACCCCCUGGAUUACCUUCACCACGUCCCGUUCCUCGGACCCGGUCGCCCCCCUGGAUAAUCUUGCCAGUUUCCCAGCUAUCGCCACAUUCCCCGCCGGCACUGUCUGCCCUGCCCUUUCCGCCCUCCAUAACCCGGACUACCAGUAAGCCACCUUCCCCUCACAUUAGUUAGUUUUUAUGUUUGGUUUAAUCUCGGCCUUCGGGUCCGUCCUUUGUUUUGUUCUGUUCUGUUUUAUUUAAUAGUUUUACCUUGACCAUCUGGUCCUCCCUUAGUUGGUUUAAUUCAGUUUAGCUUCCCUCCUGCUUUGUUUAAGGUGAGUCUUUGUUUUGUCUGUUUUCUUGAAUUACAUCAUUAUUUUACCCUUCCAUCCGUGCCUGCUGCUUGGGUUCUUCUCUGUUUCGUGACAACAGGAGGUUCUGAAGAUGGUUCAUGAUGUGGACAUGAAGCAAAGAUCGAUAGAUAGACUUUAUUGUCCCUUCCAGGAAAUUUGUCUUAGACAGCAGUGCUACUGGCUACAGGCAUGGUUUACAUACAAAAACACUGGACGACAUAAUAACAGUUACAUUCAUGAGCAGAGGUCGGCGACAAACGUGGUCAGUUGUUAUUGCACAGGAUUAAGUGCGGUACUCAGUUACAAUAAUUGGUGAACAUAAAUAAGAACAGUUAAAAUUAUUAGGAACCGUUAAAAUGAUCGAAUAAUAUGAGCAUUAUAAAAGGAAUAAUAACAGAUAAGAGACUGGUGGCAAUAAAUAAGCAUAAAAGAUUAAUAUUUAAUAAAUACCAAUUGCAGGAGAUGAAAUUUACUUAGACUGUUUGUUAAGAAGAGAUAUGGAUGUUGGGAGAAAAGAGAGCUUAUAGCGGUUAGUUUUGUGUUUGCUUGCUCUGUAUCGUCUCCCAGAAGGCAGAAGUUCAUAUUCUAGAAAAAGAAUAUGAGACGGAUCUUUCAGAAUCUUAUGUACCUGUUUAAGGACAACACUAUCAAAGACGGAUUGGAGAGAAGGGUGGUCUUUUUGACCUAUCACCUUCAUAGCAGCUUUCAUCAGUUUAUGGUUUUUUGAUUUACUCUGGGUGGAUAGUGUGCCAAACCAGGCUGCAAGUCCAUGCCUCAGGAGACUUUCAAAGAUGGCAUUAUAGAAGAUCAGCAUGAUUUCACGCCUGACACCAAACAGUCUGAGCCUGCAGAGAAAAUGCAGUCUUUGAGAUAAUCUGCUGCAGAGGAAGUCAACAUGAUCUGACCAUUUUAAGAAAUUGUCCAUGACAUUACCUAGAUAUUUGUAGGAAGCAACGUGGUGAAUAACACCGUUGUCUCUCAGUACCGAGUCAUGUUUCCGUACCCCUCUCGGGUCAAAAACCAUCUCUUUGGUUUUUGUUGCAUUAAAAAUGAGAUUAUUUCUCACACACCAGUCCUUAAACAAGUUAUCUCAUUAAAAUACACAGAGGGACAGUCACCAGCAUACAGAAGACUCAAGAUGAUCGUAUGAUCUGAAAAUUUGAUAAUGAAGUUAUUUGGUUGGCUGCUUCUGCAUUUGUUUGUAUACAACGCGAAUAGAAAGGGGGAAAUCACAGCUCCUUCUGGGACCCUUGUAGUACAAUGUUUGACAACUGAUAACCAUUUACUUGUUGUGUUCUGUCAGUUAAAAGAGCAUGGAACCAUUUUACGAUCCAGGGGUUUACCUCGAAGUUGAUUAGAUUAGUGAGAGAGUGGAGACUUGCAUCAACCUCACAAGAUUCACACAACCCAAUAUCAGUCAGUUCAAGCUUGUUGAUGCCAACAAGAAAUGCCUCCCAGAUUGGACUUCCUGUAUCAGGAACUGCUAAUGGCUAACAGCUAAUGGCUAACACACCAACCUGAAUCAGAGUGAGGCUUCUCUGAUGGAAGUUUGUGACCAAAAUCUGAUCAAGACUUGGAGAUGAGGCUUUGAAAGACCUGGGGCCUGUUUCACGAAGCAGGUUUAACAAACUCUGAGUUUCAUCCUCAACUCUGAGUUGAUCCACUCUGAGAUAGAAAACUCUGAGUUUUCGGUUUCACAACGGCUGAUUUGAGUUGGUUUGAACACGUUUUUAGAAAGAAGUGCAACACCGCUGCAGCUGUAAAAGAGAGAGAGACGGCGUGGAGAACAGCCCGGAUCAAUGCAGCAUGGCUGGACAGCAGCAGGAUGGUUCCUCAGCUUCCACUGCACAGACUGACACAGUGAGAUGGAUGUUCAGGAAACACCAGAGCUUCAUUCUGUGGAAUCCAUGUGCAACUGUAUAAUUGAAUGUCCUCUAUGUAUUCCCAGUUAUCAGUAAAACAGAUUUACAAACUGCAUUUGCUGAGAAGAAUCCAAAAACAGAUUAGGAGGGCAGAUCUGUAAAUUGAAAUACUGGAGCACAAGUUAGAGGUGGUGAUGGUCACAGGUGAAUUAUGUUAACUACUGGAACAUGAACUGAACUAUCUCUUUUAUUUGUAGGAAAUAAAGAAGAGCAAAUGAAA